GCAAUGAGAUUUCGAGAUGCAGGUUCAGCCUUAAAAAUCAGGGGAAAAAAAUCCUUCGAUGGUGCACAGGAAAAAAAUUUCUAGCGAUGGAGCACAAUUUCAUAGCAGCAAAGUGAAGACCUGAAACGCAAGGCUACUGUUGCUUCAUGAAUCUCCAAAGGUGAAAAAUCCUUACCAGAAUAUGUAAAAACAGGUAUGUGCAUUAUCACUUAAAUGCAGUAUAAGAACAGGUAUGUGCAUUAUCACUUAAAUGCACUAAACAGGCAUGUGCAUUAUUACAGAAUAGCUGGAUUGUUGGUGCUCCCUCCCUCUCUCUCCCUUACCCCCUCUCACCCUCUCUCCUUGGAGCUUCACCUUUGGCCAUGAACUGAUUUUUUUAAAAAAAUAUUUUGUCAAACCAGCCACAUUUGGCCGCCAACCAUGAGCUCAUUUGUGUUUUGCUAUUUUUAGAUAAAAAUUAUUCUAGGUUUACACACAAAAAAAUGGAUACCUCAUUUAUUCUUGUGCACCCAAAGUGAUUCGAUGUUUAGCAAAAUGAAAUUUGCGGGUGGUUGUCUGGUUGAUGGAGGUUCGCCUCGCAUCUCUUUUUUUUGGCUAUGUCAUUUGCUACGUGCAGGCUUCCUUUUUCACAAGUCUCAUUUCCAACCUUAUUUGUAUAUUGUCAGGUCUGUGCUUUUUUGUAAUCAUUUGCUUAUUUUUAGAUGAUAAACCAUAGUUUAUGCAUUUUAAAUAAAGCAUAACACGUCAUCUGUUUCCCUAUUCAUUGUCAUCAAUUUUGACAUCACCUGUUUUUUCCCUGUGCUCAACAACGACAUAUGAAAAGAGCCUAAUAUUUUCUGGUUAUAUCUUGAGGCCAUGGGUAUUGAAGAAUUGACAAUUAUUAUUAAAUGUAUGUACUGCACAAAAACAUAAUAGGUGUCCUCUGCUUACUUUAAGCAUAUGUGGUAAUGAGAGAAAGGAGAAAGUGGGCCUACCUCUCUACCCAGAUUGUUGCCAUUAGAAGGUUUUUUUAUGAAAGAUAUUUGUGUUGACAUUGUCCACAUAUUUUUAAAAUUUCACUGUGCCUAAUAUAUUUAUGAGACUUGUUUUUUCUUUUCAUCCUUAUGAGUUCUGAUUUUGAACUGCUCAAAGUUGGAGUUUUCGGAUCAUGUUCUUUCCAUUCUAAAUUUUUUUUCUCUCCAUGGUACAGUCAAUAGGUCUGGACCCAUAAAAUUCUCUUGAUUUCGACAUCGACGAUGGAGAAAUAAUGGGAGGAAAGACAACAAUAUGUGACCAUUAAUGGUGAUUUCUUGUUUAACCCAACCACUUCGAUUGUGUAAUUCUUUUUGCACACAUGAUAACCUGGUGUGUCUGGAUUUUAUUUUUGCUUCAUUUUGGAGUCCACUGGCCCAUGUUCCUCUCGCUCGUGUCUGCUGUGCUGUGCGUGCUGCUUGGGGGUUGCAUCAUAAGAAUUUUAUUUGUGCAUAUCAGACUGGCAACCAUAUGCACCAUGAACAGAUUCGUCUACGUGCGACACAGUCUCUUUAACCAUCAAUUUCCAAUCAAGCGCAUCCAGCUGUGCAAGAUCUAGGACAAACAACUAUACAAUAUAUCCCAAGGUAUAUACUGUUACAAGCUGUAAAUAUAAGCCAUCUAUCAUGUCUAUCCUAUGUAUAUGACCAUCAGCUGUUGUACGCCAUAAACCACCAACAUCACUGUUGUAUGCCUCAAACUCUAUGUUUCCACAAGAUUGUAUAUAUAUAUAUGGAUCAAGGCAUUUUUUUGUGCAAA